rnacentral:RNase_P_RNA from 1 species
CCUGUGCAUCGCUUCGUCGCUGUCCGCCGCAAGGCGGAGAGAGGAAAGUCCGGGCAGUACAGGGCACCGUGCUUCCUAACGGGAAGGGGGCCUGGUGGGAACACCAGGUUCACGGAAAGUGCCACAGAAAGGGAGACCGCCACAAGGCCGCAAGGCUUGAGGCCGGUGCUUGACAAGGUCCGCCUUGGCCAGGUUCCGGCGAGGCAAGGAUGAAAAGGUGAGGUAAGUGCUCACCAGUGCCGGUGGCGACAUCGGCAGCUUGGUAAACCCCACGGGCUGAAAGACCAAAUAGGCCGGGGCCCGUCCGGUACGCCCCGCAAGGGGCUCCGAACGGUAAGGGCGGCCCGUCCGAUCCCGGCGGGUAGGUCGAUCGAGGUCCAUCGCGAGGUGGACCCUGGAUAAAUGACGAGGGCCCCGCUCCGGCGGGGAACAGAACCCGGCUUACAGAUGCACAGGCCUU